rnacentral:rRNA from 1 species
UGGGGAAUAUUGCACAAUGGGCGCAAGCCUGAUGCAGCCAUGCCGCGUGUAUGAAGAAGGCCUUCGGGUUGUAAAGUACUUUCAGCGGGGAGGAAGGGAGUAAAGUUAAUACCUUUGCUCAUUGACGUUACCCGCAGAAGAAGCACCGGCUAACUCCGUGCCAGCAGCCGCGGUAAUACGGAGGGUGCAAGCGUUAAUCGGAAUUACUGGGCGUAAAGCGCACGCAGGCGGUUUGUUAAGUCAGAUGUGAAAUCCCCGGGCUCAACCUGGGAACUGCAGCUGAUACUGGCAAGCUUGAGUGUCGUAGAGGGGGGUAGAAUUCCAGGUGUAGCGGUGAAAUGCGUAGAGAUCUGGAGGAAUACCGGUGGCGAAGGCGGCCCCCUGGACGAAGACUGACGCUCAGGUGCGAAAGCGUGGGGAGCAAACAGG